CGACGAACGCAAUUGAAGGAUCCAAUCUUCAUUUCUUCGUUCAAGCUACACUGCUAAUUUCAAAUUUUAGUUGAUAGGCCAUUACUGUCCACCGAUGGAGAACUGCUUUCAGCUCUCAUCACUUCCUUCACUCAACUUUUGAACUAAAAUGACGUCAAAGGAUUUGCAAAACCGCGGCACCCAGGUAUAGACAUGAAAAGGUGAACAGAACCUAUUUUACAUCCUUCUCUCCUUGAAAAAAAAAAUCAUGUCUGGUCCAGUACUUCAUUUUACUUUAUCCUGGUGACGAUUGCCAAGCGAACAAUUCUGGAAAAUUAAAACCUCCUCGAGAAUUUAGAAUCUUUUGGGUGCACAGUCAUUGAAUACAAACUUCAACCAAUUCGUGAAAGUUCAAUUUUUUAUAUCGAAAUCUUCUUUCAGGAUGACUUAUCUGGUUGUAGAAGCUUGAGUAAUUGCAGAAGGAGAAGAAGGAGAAGAAGAGUAAAAGAGGCCCCAAAGGGCCAAAAGGAAAAAGGCAAAGGUAAUAAAAAGACACCCAAAGAGGAUUAAAGGUCAUAGGACAGAAGAAGAGUACAAAGUCCAAAUAAGAAGCAAAAGUUGCUCAACUUUAAUGCCUGCAUGGGGCUCAAAAUUCAAGAUGACCCUUAUUUUAUUUUCUGAAAUUGAUAAAUGGGUCCCUUUUUCUUUUUUAGCCCUUUUGGAUGCUCUGUUCUUUGUGUGGGACAUAUCCCCUUCAUCACUCUUUAUUCAAUCUCAUGAGUCAUGCCUACCCUCCUCCCCUUCUCUGCCAUCCACACUACAAAUGUUUUCAUUUUCAAUCCACCCUCUGCCCAUUUCUUUUCUCAGUUACGAGUCCAUGUCUUUACGUUACCCAAUAAAACAACUAUUUAAUUAAUUACCUGUCGUUUUUUUCUUUUUUCUUUUUUCUAAAAAAAAAAGUAGAUGCUAAUUAAACACAAACGCAUGCGUAAUUAAUUAUCUUUAUCACCUGCUAAUCUACACACACACCUUAAUCCACAUAAAAUUGAAUCAUACUAGUAGGUUGUGCAAGGGGUUCUUUUUUUCUUCUUUUUAUUCAGAACCUUCACCUUAUAAUAAUUACUACCUUAAAAGUUUUCUCACUUCAAAACAUGUUUUUGAAAAUUUUAGAAUGGUGUGGUGAUACUUUUAUGUGGCCCCCUCUAUGAAAAAGAGGGGGAAAAAUAUUGAACAACUAUUUUCUACAAAAAGUAUUUAAUUUAAGUUAAGCCAAUUAUAAUCUUAUAUUGAUAGUAUCAAGGAGUACGAAAAGGUUCAGUAUUAUAAUAAUAAUAAUAAUAUAUGUAUAUAGGGUCAUAAAUUAAAAUGUUUGGUAGAAAUGAGACCAAUUGGGAGGUCCCAAAGAACUCACAUGACUGUUGUAUCAUCAGAAAUUAUAGAGAUGCCUUUGGCAAUCCAUUCAUCAAGGAAGAAAGAGUUUGCGAUGUAAUUGUCUCCUAAUUACUCGAGACAUCCAAUAACAAAACCUUACGUGGCUUCAAUGUGUCACGUUUAUUGGAAUCUUAGUCUUUAUAUAUAAAUAUAAAUAUUAGCACCGACAUAGUUAGAAAAUUGAAAUAUGGGGAGCAAAACCAUGCUAAAUUACACUGUGUUUUUUUUGUUGGUGUUAAGUUAUUAGAGUGAGGAAAUUGAAGGUAGUAAUAAAUAGAGAAAACAGGAGUCAAACCUAACUUGCCAUUAUCAUAUUAUAUGAAAGUGGACCAUUUGAGUCUGCUAUUCCCCUCAUCACGUGGGCCAUUGUCGACUCUCUUUCUCUCUUCUCUCUGAGUCCCAUUAUAGCCGUCUUUUCCUUUGCUCUUAUAUCUCUAACCUAAGCCUCAAAUCCAUUUCCAUACACAAUACAAUUUCCUCUCUAUUUCUUUUUUCUUUUUUUCUUUUUUAUACCAAUCUCAAUUUACUAUGACAUUCAUACAUGUCCACCCAGAUAGAGGACGGAUUUGAGUGUUUUUGAAAUAUUUCAAGUUUUUUUUGUUUUUUUUUUCUCUUUGUGGGUUUUUCUUCCGGCCGCCGGCAAAGCCACCAUGUUUAACAGAAGAAUCACCACUUCCUCCUCCUCUUCCUCCACCUCUGCUUUUGCCAUACUAAUUUUGAUCCUGUGGGUGUCACAGAUUUGGGUUUGUUGUCACUGUCAAGCUAGAGCAUCACGGAUUUUUCCUCCUCCUCCUCCUCCUCCGCCGCCGCAUCCAGCGGAUAAAUCACUGUCUGGUGAAGAAAAAGACAACGCCAAAAAUGAUCUUCUCCAAAAAUACUUCAACGGCAGAGCCUUCGAUCGUCACCGCCAUGAUGAAGGAUUUGAAGACAGUAAACGGAAAAUACCCAGUUGUCCAGAUCCUCUUCAUAAUUAGUAGGAUUAAUUAUUCAAUUUUACACUCUUUCCCGUCCAAAAUACCCCCGUUUUUCUCUUCAAUUUUUUCUUUGUUUUUGUUACACUCGUUUUCCUAUGAUUCAAUAGAGAAAACCGGGGUUAUUUUGGUACUUCUUCACUUUGUUUAUAUAUGAAAUCAUAAAUUCCUUCUUUUAAUUCAUUCCAGUACAGAAAACAAUGUGCAGUAGUAGUAGUGAAGUGUGUUAGUGAUUCAUGUCUUUCUGGGUUUUAUUUUUUUUAAAAAAAAUUGUACUGCAAACAAAAGGCAGAAGGUCGGUUCUGUUGUUCUGUGUGUGUACAAAAAAUAGGAGGAUGGUUCAAUUUCAAAACCAAAGAAAAUGGCAAUCCAUUGUCUGUAGGUGAAGGUAAAAAAGUGGGUAAGAUGGAGAAAAGAAAAAGGGGGUAUUAAGUUAGAUUAAAAUAAUGUAUGUGAUGUGUAAUAUGUCAUUUCAAUGUCGAAUCUGAAUGAUCUGGCAUUUUGCAGA